GACGAACGCUGGCGGCGUGCUUAACACAUGCAAGUCGAACGGAAAGGCCCUGCUUUUGUGGGGUGCUCGAGUGGCGAACGGGUGAGUAACACGUGAGUAACCUGCCCUUGACUUUGGGAUAACUUCAGGAAACUGGGGCUAAUACCGGAUAGGAGCUCCUGCUGCAUGGUGGGGGUUGGAAAGUUUCGGCGGUUGGGGAUGGACUCGCGGCUUAUCAGCUUGUUGGUGGGGUAGUGGCUUACCAAGGCUUUGACGGGUAGCCGGCCUGGGAGGGUGACCGGCCACAUUGGGACUGAGAUACGGCCCAGACUCCUACGGGAGGCAGCAGUGGGGAAUAUUGCACAAUGGGCGGAAGUCUGAUGCAGCAACGCCGCGUGCGGGAUGACGGCCUACGGGUUGUAAACCGCUUUCGCCUGUGACGAAGCGUGAGUGACGGUAAUGGGUAAAGAAGCACCGGCUAACUACGUG
rnacentral:rRNA from 1 species